rnacentral:rRNA from 2 species
UCCGUAGGUGAACCUGCGGAGGGAUCAUUACAAGUGACCCCGGUUUACCACCGGGAUGUUCAUAACCCUUUGUUGUCCGACUCUGUUGCCUCCGGGGCGACCCUGCCUUCGGGCGGGGGCUCCGGGUGGACACUUCAAACUCUUGCGUAACUUUGCAGUCUGAGUAAACUUAAUUAAUAAAUUAAAACUUUUAACAACGGAUCUCUUGGUUCUGGCAUCGAUGAAGAACGCAGCGAAAUGCGAUAAGUAAUGUGAAUUGCAGAAUUCAGUGAAUCAUCGAAUCUUUGAACGCACAUUGCGCCCCCUGGUAUUCCGGGGGGCAUGCCUGUUCGAGCGUCAUUUCACCACUCAAGCCUCGCUUGGUAUUGGGCAACGCGGUCCGCCGCGUGCCUCAAAUCGACCGGCUGGGUCUUCUGUCCCCUAAGCGUUGUGGAAACUAUUCGCUAAAGGGUGCUCGGGAGGCUACGCCGUAAAACAACCCCAUUUCUAAGGUUGACCUCGGAUCAGGUAGGGAUACCCGCUGAACUUAAGCAUAUCAAUAAGCGGAGGA